rnacentral:rRNA from 1 species
UACAGAGGUCUCAAGCGUUGUUCGGAUUCAUUGGGCGUAAAGGGUGCGUAGGCGGCGCGGUAAGUCGGGUGUGAAAUCUCGGAGCGUUAACUUCGAAACUGCAUUCGAUACUGCCGUGCUUGAGGACUGGAGAGGAGACUGGAAUUUACGGUGUAGCGGUGAAAUGCGUAGAUAUCGUAAGGAAGACCAGUGGCGAAGGCGGGUCUCUGGACAGUUCCUGACGCUGAGGCACGAAGGUCAGGGGAGCAAACGGG